rnacentral:rRNA from 1 species
GAUGAAUGCUGGCGGCGUGCCUAACACAUGCAAGUCGAGCGGCAGCGCGGUCUUCGGACUGGCGGCGAGCGGCGGACGGCUGAGUAACGCGUGGGAACAUGCCCCAAAGUGAGGGAUAACCGCCCGAAAGGGUGGCUAAUACCGCAUACGAUCUUCGGAUUAAAGGAUUUAUCCGCUUUGGGAGUGGCCUGCGUACGAUUAGAUUGUUGGUGAGGUAAUGGCUCACCAAGUCGACGAUCGUUAACUGGUCUGAGAGGAUGAUCAGUCAGACUGGAACUGAGACACGGUCCAGACUCCUACGGGAGGCAGCAGUGAGGAAUCUUCCAAAAUGGGCGAAAGCCUGAUGGAGCAACGCCGCGUGCAGGAUGAAGGCCUUCGGGUCGUAAACUGCUUUUAUAAGUGAAGAAUAUGACGGUAACUUAUGAAUAAGCACCGGCUAACUACGUGCCAGCAGCCGCCGCA